GAACCUACGUCUUGGGAUCUCCAGUCAUGAUAGGUACGGUUGCAAUCAAGCAUCAUCAUUUGUUAUAGGCUUUAAACCCAUUCCUUUUGAUGAUUUAGCAACAACAUCUCGUGGCAAACCUUUUGUAAAUGGAUCCGCUAGGUUGUCAGCCGAUUUGAUGUAGUCUAUUGUGAUUACACCAGUUGAGAUAAGUUGUACAAUGGUUUUAUGUCGUCUUCUGAUGUGACGAGAU
rnacentral:lncRNA from 1 species